rnacentral:rRNA from 1 species
UACGAAGGGUGCAAGCGUUACUCGGAAUUACUGGGCGUAAAGCGUGCGUAGGUGGUUUGUUAAGUCUGUUGUGAAAGCCCCGGGCUCAACCUGGGAAUGGCAAUGGAUACUGGCAAGCUAGAGUGCGGUAGAGGGUAGUGGAAUUCCCGGUGUAGCGGUGAAAUGCGUAGAGAUCGAGAGGAACACCAGUGGCGAAGGCGAGUCCCUGGACAACACCUGACACUGAGGCACGAAAGCUAGGGGAGCAAACAGG